GAUGAACGCUGGCGGCGUGCCUAAUACAUGCAAGUCGAGCGAACGGACGAGAAGCUUGCUUCUCUGAUGUUAGCGGCGGACGGGUGAGUAACACGUGGAUAACCUACCUAUAAGACUGGGAUAACUUCGGGAAACCGGAGCUAAUACCGGAUAAUAUUUUGAACCGCAUGGUUCAAAAGUGAAAGACGGUCUUGCUGUCACUUAUAGAUGGAUCCGCGCUGCAUUAGCUAGUUGGUAAGGUAACGGCUUACUAAGGCAACGAUGCAUAGCCGACCUGAGAGGGUGAUCGGCCACACUGGAACUGAGACACGGUCCAGACUCCUACGGGAGGCAGCAGUAGGGAAUCUUCCGCAAUGGGCGAAAGCCUGACGGAGCAACGCCGCGUGAGUGAUGAAAGUCUUCGGAUCGUAAAACUCUGUUAUUAGGGAAGAACAUAUGUGUAAGUAACUGUGCACAUCUUGACGGUACCUAAUCAGAAAGCCACGGCUAACUACGUG
rnacentral:rRNA from 1 species